rnacentral:rRNA from 1 species
GAUGAACGCUAGCGGCAGGCCUAAUACAUGCAAGUCGAGGGGUAGAGAAGAGCUUGCUUUUCUUGAGACCGGCGCACGGGUGCGUAACGCGUAUGCAACCUACCUUUAUCAGGGGGAUAGCCUCUCGAAAGAGAGAUUAACACCGCAUAAAAACACAGUACGGCAUCGUACAAUGUUCAAAUAUUUAUAGGAACAAGAUGGGCAUGCGUGACAUUAGCUAGUUGGUGAGGUAAGGGCUCACCAAGGCGACGAUGUCUAGGGGAUCUGAGAGGAUGACCCCCCACACUGGUACUGAGACACGGACCAGACUCCUACGGGAGGCAGCAGUAAGGAAUAUUGGUCAAUGGGGGCAACCCUGAACCAGCCAUGCCGCGUGCAGGAAGACGGCCCUACGGGUUGUAAACUGCUUUUAUACGGGAAUAAACCCCUUUACGUGUAAAGGGUUGAAUGUACUGUAAGAAUAAGGAUCGGCUAACUCCGUGCCAGCCGCCGCGGUAA